rnacentral:misc_RNA from 1 species
CCGAGUUUACAACUCCCAAACCCCUGUGAACAUACCACUUGUUGCCUCGGCGGAUCCGCCCGCUCCCGGUAAAACGGGACGGCCCGCCAGAGGACCCCUAAACUCUGUUUCUAUAUGUAACUUCUGGGUAAAACCAUAAAUAAAUCA